rnacentral:sRNA from 1 species
AGUGCGUGGCCGCCCGGGGCCAUGGCGACACUCAGCUUCGUCUUCCUGCUGCUGGGGGCAGUGUCCUGGCCUCCGGCUUCUGCCUCCGGCCAGGAGUUCUGGCCCGGACAGUCGGCGGCCGAUAUUCUGUCGGGGGCGGCUUCCCGCAGACGGUAUCUUCUGUAUGACGUCAACCCCCCGGAAGGCUUCAACCUGCGCAGGGAUGUCUAUAUCCGAAUCGCCUCUCUCCUGAAGACUCUGCUGAAGACGGAGGAGUGGGUGCUUGUCCUGCCUCCAUGGGGCCGCCUCUAUCACUGGCAGAGUCCUGACAUCCACCAGGUCCGGAUUCCCUGGUCUGAGUUUUUUGAUCUUCCAAGUCUCAAUAAAAACAUCCCCGUCAUCGAGUAUGAGCAGUUCAUCGCAGGUGAGGCCGAGCGGCACGCUGGGAGGCCGUGGUUGCUUAACUGGGGCCAGGCAGUCAUUUCUAAGGUAGACAUCAGGUUGGGCUUACGAUUGCAUCCAGCCUCACCAGCAUCCUCCAGUGCCCAGUGCUGCUGCCUGAGGCCUGUGGCAGCACCUUCUCCGCUCAGGAGCACAGUCCCUUUCCCACGCUGCAGUG